GACGAACGCUGGCGGCGUGCUUAACACAUGCAAGUCGAACGGUGAAGCCCUUCGGGGUGGAUCAGUGGCGAACGGGUGAGUAACACGUGGGCAAUCUGCCCUGCACUCUGGGACAAGCCCUGGAAACGGGGUCUAAUACCGGAUAUGACCACUACGGGCAUCUGAGGUGGUGGAAAGCUCCGGCGGUGCAGGAUGAGCCCGCGGCCUAUCAGCUUGUUGGUGGGGUGAUGGCCUACCAAGGCGACGACGGGUAGCCGGCCUGAGAGGGCGACCGGCCACACUGGGACUGAGACACGGCCCAGACUCCUACGGGAGGCAGCAGUGGGGAAUAUUGCACAAUGGGCGAAAGCCUGAUGCAGCGACGCCGCGUGAGGGAUGACGGCCUUCGGGUUGUAAACCUCUUUCAGCAGGGAAGAAGCGUGAGUGACGGUACCUGCAGAAGAAGCACCGGCUAACUACGUGCCAGCAGCCGCCGUAAAAC
rnacentral:rRNA from 1 species